AUUGAACGCUGGCGGCAGGCCUAACACAUGCAAGUCGAGCGGAUGCAGGGAGCUUGCCACUGGAUUCAGCGGCGGACGGGUGUGUAAUGCCUAUGAAUCUGCCUGGUAGUGGGGGAUAACGUCCGGAAACGGGCGCUAAUACCGCAUACGCGCUGUAGGAGAAAGAGGGGGGUCUUCGGACCUCACGCUAUCAGAUGAUCCUAGGUCGGAUUAGCUAGUUGGUGAGGUAAAGGCCUACCAAGGCGACGAUCCGUAACUGGUCUGAGAGGAUGAUCAGUCACACUGGAACUGAGACACGGUCCAGACUCCUACGGGAGGCAGCAGUGGGGAAUUUUGGACAAUGGGCGAAAGCCUGAUCCAGCCAUGCCGCGUGUGUGAAGAAGGUCUUCGGGUUGUAAAGCACUUUUAGUCGGGAGGAAAGGCAGUAAGUUAAUACCGUGCUGUUUUGACGUUACCAGCAGAAUAAGCACCGGCUAACUUCGUG
rnacentral:rRNA from 1 species